AGUGAACGCUGGCGGUAGGCCUAACACAUGCAAGUCGAACGGCAGCACAGUAAGAUCUCGCCCUUAAGGGUGGCGAGUGGCGGACGGGUGAGGAAUACAUCGGAAUCUUCUUUUUCGUGGGGGAUUACGUAGGGAAACUUACGCUAAUACAUCAUAUGUCCUACGGGUGAAAGCAGUGGAUCUUCGGACCUUGCGCGAUUGAAUUAGACGAUGUCGGAUUAGCUAGUUGGCUGGGUAAAGGCCCACCAAGGCGACGCUCCGUAGCUGGUCUGAGAGGAUGAUCAGCCACACUGGAACUGAGACACGGUCCAGACUCCUACGGGAGGCAGCAGUGGGGAAUAUUGGACAAUGGGCGCAAGCCUGAUCCAGCCAUACCGCGUGAGUGAAGAAGGCCUUCGGGUUGUAAAGCCCUGUUGUUGGGAAAGAAAAACAGCAGAUUAAUACCCCGCUGUUCUGACGGUACCCAAAGAAUAAGCACCGGCUAACUUCGUG
rnacentral:rRNA from 1 species